AUUAGGAGUAAUCCUCCUUUUUCAGAAGAAGGGUGGAACACAGUUCACAGCAGAAGUAACAAGAUAGAGAAGAUUGAUACAAGCAAACUUAAACAGUUUGCUCGAGGAGGGCAAGCUGAGGUU